rnacentral:rRNA from 1 species
UACGUAGGGGGCAAGCGUUGUCCGGAAUCAUUGGGCGUAAAGAGCGUGUAGGCGGCCCGAUAAGUCCGCCGUGAAAGUCCAGGGCUCAACCCUGGAAUGCCGGUGGAAACUGUCGGGCUGGAGUCCGGAAGAGGCGAGUGGAAUUCCUGGUGUAGCGGUGAAAUGCGCAGAUAUCAGGAGGAGCACCAAUGGCGAAGGCAGCUCGCUGGGACGGUACUGACGCUGAGACGCGAAAGCGUGGGGAGCAAACAGG